UAUCAGUCUAGAGUCCACGAAGUUCAUUCC
rnacentral:piRNA from 1 species